ensembl:rRNA 5S_rRNA 5S ribosomal RNA
GUCUAUGGCCAUAUUAUUCUGAUUCCCAAAGAUAAGCAGUGUCAGGCCUGGCCAGUACUUGUAAAGAGACAACCUGAGAAUACUGGGUGCUGUAGGGU